GACGGAGGAGGCAAGCGUUAUCCGGAAUUACUGGGCGUAAAGCGUGCGCAGGCGGUUUUGUAAGCCAGAUGUGAAAUCCCCGGGCUUAACCUGGGAAUGGCAUUUGGGACUGCAAGGCUUGAGUGCGGCAGAGGAGACUGGAAUUCCUGGUGUAGCAGUGAAAUGCGUAGAUAUCAGGAGGAAUACCGAUGGCGAAGGCAGGUCUCUGGGCUGACACUGACGCUCAUGCACGAAAGCGUGGGGAGCAAACAGG
rnacentral:rRNA from 1 species